UUUUAUUUAGUCUCUUGAAUUUGCGCCAGGCUGUGACGAAUCGAUGUCACUCUGUUUAAAUAAAUAAAACACGUUAACAUUUAUUUAAUCAAGUAAUUUAAGAACAAAUUCUUAUUUACAAUGACCCCGGCCAAACCCGGACGACGCAGGGCCAAUUGUGCGCCGCCCUAUGGAACUCCCAAUCACGGCUGGAUGUGAUACAGCCUGGAUUCGUAUCAGGGACUGUAGUGGCGCCUCUUGCACUGAGAUGCAGUGCCUUAGACCACUGGGCCACUCGGGAGAGCAUUAAAAAAUAUAUCGACCUCUGUAGAGUAGGCAAAGUCUGUAUCAACAUUAUAAAGAAAAAAAGUUUAUAUCAAAUCAAAUGUUAUUAUUAUUGGUCACGUACACAUAUUUUGCAAUGUUACAUUUCGCAGAUGUUACCUCGAGUGUAGUGAAAUGCUUAUGUUCCUAGCUAACACACAUCACGACAAGAGAGACACCACAACACUACAUAAAGAGAAACCUAAGACAACAACAUAGCAGCAGCUCAACAUGGUAGCAGCACAAUACAUGGUACAAACAUUAUUUGUCACAGACAACAGCACUAAGGCAAGAAGGUGGAGACAACAAUACACACAAAGCAGCCACAACUGUCAGAUUCUGUUUGGCCAGUGGCCAUACUAGUGGGUGCAGGAAACUGUCUUUUACCGGAAUAAUUCACUUCCUCAGCUGUAGCAGUUCCACAUUACCUGUGAAACAGGAACAGGACCUGAGCCCUAGGAUCAUACCUCAGGACUACCUGGCUUGAUGACUCCUGGCUGUCCAUAGUCCACCUGGUCGUACUGCUGCUCCAGUUUCAACUGUUCUGCAUGCGGCUAGGGAACCCUGACCUGUUCACCGGACGUGCUGUUUUCAACUCUCUCUCUCUCUCUCUACCGCACCUGCUGUCUCGACCUCUAAAUGCUCAGCUAUGAAAAGACAACUGACAUUUACUCCCGAGGUACUGACCUGUUGCACCCUCUAUCAACACUAUGAUUAUUAUUUGACCCUGCUGGUCAUCUAUGAACGUUUGAUCAUCUUGAAAAACAAUCUGGCCUUAAAUGGCCAUAAUCCCCCCCCCCCGGCACAGCCAAAAGAGGCUCUGAAGCCAUCCCUCAGAGCCUGGUUCCUCUCUAGGUUUCUUCCCAGGUUCUUGCCUUUCUAGGGAGUUUUUCCUAGCCACCGUGCUUCUACAUCUGGAUUGCUUGCUGUUUGGGAUUUUAGGCUGGUUUUCUGUAUAAGCACUUUGUGACAUCUGCUAAUGUGAAAAGUGCUUUAUAAAUACAUUUGAAUGACUAAUCUCUUGGCAAUUGGAGUUUGUGGAGUACAUUGUUUGUGGAAGAUCCUGGUUCUACUUUAGGCCUACUUAUACCAAACAGUAUGUACAAUGACCUGGUGGUUUGUGAAGGGCGCGUCAGCGCUUAGUACACAAUUGUGUUCGGCAUUUCAAGACGGCAGAUUAAUUAUAAACUACAGCUUCAUCCAGAGGUCAGAUAAGAAAUAUUUCAGGGAGAAUUCAGACUCCAGAGAAUUGUACCUUAUACAUACAAUUCAUCCUUCAUGUAUUCUGUUAGAUAUCCAUCAAGUAGAUGGUUCAAUGUCUAUUUUUUUCAUCAAGGAAAAGGACAGAAAUAAAUGAGAUGCAACAAAGGGCAACAGAAAAAAACAUUGCCUGACGUUAUCCGUCGUUUAGGGUUGCAGCACACCCUAUCAGCAUUACACUAU